GAUGAACGCUGGCGGCGUGCCUAACACAUGCAAGUCGAGCGAUUCUCUUCGGAGAAGAGCGGCGGACGGGUGAGUAACGCGUGGGUAACCUGCCCUGUACACACGGAUAACAUACCGAAAGGUAUGCUAAUACGAGAUAAUAUGCUUUUAUCGCAUGGUAGGAGUAUCAAAGCUCCGGCGGUACAGAAUGGACCCGCGUCUGAUUAGCUAGUUGGUAAGGUAACGGCUUACCAAGGCGACGAUCAGUAGCCGACCUGAGAGGGUGAUCGGCCACAUUGGAACUGAGACACGGGUCCAAACUCCUACGGGAGGCAGCAGUGGGGAAUAUUGCACAAUGGGCGAAAGCCUGAUGCAGCAACGCCGCGUGAGCGAUGAAGUAUCUCGGGUAUGUAAACUUCUAUCAGCAGGGAA
rnacentral:rRNA from 1 species